UACGGAGGGUGCGAGCGUUGUCCGGAAUCACUGGGCGUAAAGGGCGCGUAGGCGGCCUUCUAAGUCGGACGUGAAAUCCCUCGGCUCAACCGGGGAACUGCGUCCGAUACUGGAGGGCUUGAAUCCGGGAGAGGGAUGUGGAAUUCCAGGUGUAGCGGUGAAAUGCGCAGAUAUCGGGAAGAACACCCGUGGCUAAGGCGGCUCUCUAGUACGGUACUGACGCUGAGACGCGAAAGCGUGGGGAGCGAACAGG
rnacentral:rRNA from 1 species